AUUGAACGCUGGCGGCAGGCCUAACACAUGCAAGUCGAACGAGGGGCGGACGGGUGAGUAAUGUCUGGGAAACUGCCUGGUGGGGGGGGAUAACUACUGGAAACGGGAGCAAAUACCGCAUACCAACGGAUGUGCCCAGAUGGGAUUAUCUAGUAGGUGGGGUAAAGGCUCACCUAGGCGACGAUCCCUAGCUGGUCUGAGAGGAUGACCAGCCACACUGGAACUGAGACACGGUCCAGACUCCUACGGGAGGCAGCAGUGGGGAAUAUUGCCCAAUGGGCGCAAGCCUGAUGCAGCCAUGCCGCGUGUGUGAAGAAGGCCUUCGGGUUGUAAAGUACUUUCAGCGGGGAGGCGUUACCCGCAGAAGAAGCACCGGCUAACUCCGUGCCAGCAGCCGCGGUAAUAC
rnacentral:rRNA from 1 species